rnacentral:snRNA from 1 species
GGAUGUGAGGGUGAUCUGCUGAGACAUCUGUCAUCCCACUGAUCACCAGGGUUGAUUCAGCUGAUCUGGUUGGCCAGGCAGGUGUCCCCUUCUUCUCUCACCGCUCCAUGCACAUCCUUCCCCAAGCUGUGUGCUAGGUCAGAGAGGAGGACCUUUCCUACUAGAAGCUAGAAGACCACUGUUCUUCCAUCAAGGGUGUUCAAGUAACUGUGCUCCCCUGCUAGAAUCUCCAAACAAAUGCUCAAGGUCCAUUUAUAUGAAAUGCCCUAACAGACAAAUUCAUGGUUACAGAAAGUAGAUUAUUGAUUGCCAGGGAUUGGGGCAGGGAAA